GGGCUGCGGGGGCUCGGCGGGGCUUUGCGGGGGUCGCGGAGCAUGUCGGCGCUGCGGCGCAAGCUGGGGGACGACUACCAGGUGGUGAGCACCUCGGCCAGCGGAGUGGGGCUGCCGCCCCCCAGGGCCGCCCCCCGCGGGAAGCGCCAGCGCUUCGUGGACAAGAACGGCCGGUGCAACGUCCAGCACGGCAACCUGGGCGGAGAGACCAGCCGCUACCUGUCCGACCUCUUCACCACCCUCGUGGACCUCAAGUGGCGCUGGAACCUCUUCAUCUUCAUCCUCACCUACACGGUGGCCUGGCUCUUCAUGGCCUCCAUGUGGUGGGUCAUCGCCUACAUGCGGGGCGACCUCAACAAGGCGCACGACGACAGCUACACCCCCUGCGUGGCCAACGUGUACAACUUCCCCUCCGCCUUCCUCUUCUUCAUCGAGACCGAGGCCACCAUCGGCUACGGCUACCGCUACAUCACCGACAAGUGCCCCGAGGGCAUCAUCCUCUUCCUCUUCCAGUCCAUCCUGGGCUCCAUCGUGGACGCCUUCCUCAUCGGCUGCAUGUUCAUCAAGAUGUCCCAGCCCAAGAAGAGGGCCGAGACGCUGAUGUUCAGCGAGCACGCCGCCAUCUCCAUGCGGGACGGGAAGCUCACCCUCAUGUUCCGCGUGGGGAACCUCCGCAACAGCCACAUGGUCUCGGCGCAGAUCCGCUGCAAGCUGCUCAAGGUGAGGGACGCGGCCCCCGGGGGGGAAAGGGGCAGGGCUGGGUUGGGUAUUAGGGAGAAUUCCUUCCUGGGAAGGGCUGCCCUGCCCGGGGCAGCG